rnacentral:rRNA from 1 species
GACGAACGCUGGCGGCGUGCUUAACACAUGCAAGUCGAACGGAAAGGCCCUGCUUUUGUGGGGUGCUCGAGUGGCGAACGGGUGAGUAACACGUGAGUAACCUGCCCUUGACUUUGGGAUAACUUCAGGAAACUGGGGCUAAUACCGGAUAGGAGCUCCUGCUGCAUGGUGGGGGUUGGAAAGUUUCGGCGGUUGGGGAUGGACUCGCGGCUUAUCAGCUUGUUGGUGGGGUAGUGGCUUACCAAGGCUUUGACGGGUAGCCGGCCUGAGAGGGUGACCGGCCACAUUGGGACUGAGAUACGGCCCAGACUCCUACGGGAAGCAGCAGUGGGGAAUAUUGCACAAUGGGCGGAAGCCUGAUGCAGCAACGCCGCGUGCGGGAUGACGGCCCUCGGGUUGUAAACCGCUUUCGCCUGUGACGAAGCGUGAGUGACGGUAAUGGGUAAAGAAGCACCGGCUAACUACGUG